GGUUUAAUUCGAAGCAACGCGAAGAACCUUACCAGGUCUUGACAUCCCGAUGCUAUUUCUAGAGAUAGAAAGUUACUUCGGUACAUCGGUGACAGGUGGUGCAUGGUUGUCGUCAGCUCGUGUCGUGAGAUGUUGGGUUAAGUCCCGCAACGAGCGCAACCCCUAUUGUUAGUUGCCAUCAUUCAGUUUGGGCACUCUAGCGAGACUGCCGGUAAUAAACCGGAGGA
rnacentral:rRNA from 1 species